GAUGAACGCUAGCUACAGGCUUAACACAUGCAAGUCGGAGGGGCAGCAUGAACUUAGCUUGCUAAGUUUGAUGGCGACCGGCGCACGGGUGAGUAACACGUAUCCAACCUUCCGUUUACUCAGGGAUAGCCUUUCGAAAGAAAGAUUAAUACCUGAUAGUAUGGUGAGAUUGCAUGAUAACACCAUUAAAGAUUUAUUGGUAAACGAUGGGGAUGCGUUCCAUUAGGUAGUAGGCGGGGUAACGGCCCACCUAGCCUGCGAUGGAUAGGGGUUCUGAGAGGAAGGUCCCCCACAUUGGAACUGAGACACGGUCCAAACUCCUACGGGAGGCAGCAGUGAGGAAUAUUGGUCAAUGGGCGAGAGCCUGAACCAGCCAAGUAGCGUGAAGGAUGAAGGUCCUACGGAUUGUAAACUUCUUUUAUACGGGAAUAAAGUUUCCUACGUGUAGGAUUUUGUAUGUACCGUAUGAAUAAGCAUCGGCUAACUCCGUG
rnacentral:rRNA from 1 species